UCGCAGUCCACUUCUAAAACGGUCGUGUUGCGGGUUUUUAUAUUAUUAUUUUUUAUUCAUUUAAUUCAAGUUUAUUAGGGGAACAGGUGAACUUUUGCAAGUUGAACUAUUGUAAUUCUGGCUCCAUAUUCUUGAAGCACCUAGCAAGCACAAGAAUCCAAACAGGAAAAUGAAGUGUGAGCGCAAGGCGUCGACGGCCGAUGACGUCAUGGCUUCGAGGAAAAAUCGCGGGUCGCGCCGCGGGCCCACGCGCACAUAAAUCAAGUGAACAACAAUUGUGGCCAAUUUCGCCUUUGAUUACAGUUAGGGUCUUCGUCAAAAAUGUACAUCACGCACGACCUUCAGUAUGGAUGGAUACAGGAUUUACAUUUGUAAAUGCUGUACUAAUAUUAAUAAUCCAUACUUCAAUACUCCAUUCUAAUUAUAAAGAGAAAAGACUUGUAUUUUUGUUUCAUUAUGAAAUCUUAUCUCAUUAGGUAAUCUUAAUCACUUUUCUCCUUUCAUGAGAUGAAUGUAAAUAUCUGUCUCCUAAAUGUUGGGUAUCUGAAUCUUGGGCAUUCAAAUACUUACUAAAAUAACUUUAUUUCAGAUAACUUGGUUUAAGUAAUAAUAAAAAAAUGGGCCUUUACUUUUUAUUUAAUUAAUUGCAGUCACCUUUUUUAUUUUAGAAGGUAUAGAUAUUUUUAUAAUGAGUUACAGUUAUAUAAUGUCCUGCUUAUAAAAAAAACACAGUAAAUCUAGAGAAUUAAACAAAAGGUCGACUGAUAAGGUCAUAUUAUAUACUUUAUCGAACAGAGUUAUUAUCUUUGUAACUGAGUAUUUAAUUAUGUUUAACACACAUUAACAAUAAAUAUGAUCACUAAGUUUUAAAUUGACAAAUGAAAACAAAUUAUACACUUAAAAAUAACGCUGAAAUGGUUCAUUAUAAGUUUGAUGUAAAAAUGAAAUAAAUACAACAAAAAUAAUAGUAUCCAUAAUUUUAAUAAACAUGAUGUUGUAUAGACUUCUAUUAUAGAAUGAUGACUAACACCAAAUUGCGCUUAUCAGUAGAUAAAGGAGUUAUCAGCAAGAAAGAUUCCAGGAAAGACUUGCCAAACGAGUAUUGAUGUAUUGUACCAACCUUGUUACUAUAUUUUUGAUGUAAUCAUUACUUCUCAUUUAAUCAUCAGGUCCAUUUUAUUUACAGUCUGUCUAAUGAGUAGAAAAUAAAUAGGUUCUCUUUGCUGGUAACACUGUUUUUCAAUCAAUCACAAACAUUCUACUU